CUGCAUUGGGAUCAGGCAAGAGAUGUAGAGACCUCACCCCCUCCCAAAGGAGUGCUUGCUGGGAGUCUCCCUAGGGAUUGGCCCACUCCCAGAGAGGAGGGAGCACCAGGAGAGAUGUCUCUGCAGCACACACAUGACAAGCCCUGUGCUAUCAUAAAUACCAGACUAUUUCUGCUGGAGACAUAUCCCCAUCACAGAAUUAAAGGAGGUAGAAGAGA